GACGAACGCUGCGGCGUGCUUAACACAUGCCCGUCGAACGGAAAGGCCCUGCUUUUGUGGGGUGCUCGAGUGGCGAACGGGUGAGUAACACGUGAGUAACCUGCCCUUGACUUUGGGAUAACUUCAGGAAACUGGGGCUAAUACCGGAUAGGAGCUCCUGCUGCAUGGUGGGGGUUGGAAAGUUUCGGCGGUUGGGGAUGGACUCGCGGCUUAUCAGCUUGUUGGUGGGGUAGUGGCUUACCAAGGCUUUGACGGGUAGCCGGCCUGAGAGGGUGACCGGCCACAUUGGGACUGAGAUACGGCCCAGACUCCUACGGGAGGCAGCAGUGGGGAAUAUUGCACAAUGGGCGGAAGCCUGAUGCAGCAACGCCGCGUGCGGGAUGACGGCCUUCGGGUUGUAAACCGCUUUCGCCUGUGACGAAGCGUGAGUGACGGUAAUGGGGAAAGAAGCACCGGCUAACUACGU
rnacentral:rRNA from 1 species